AAAAGCAUGCAAAUUCAAUAUAUUGCAGAGUUCACGUAGGCCU
rfam:Escherichia coli str. K-12 substr. MG1655, complete genome.